rnacentral:tRNA from 1 species
UUAUGGCUGGGAUGGCAAAUCCAAAGACUUUAAAGAAGCCUUAAAUAAGGGGUUUUAUCACGGGGUUAAGUUGGGCGCUAAAGCCGUAUU